rnacentral:misc_RNA from 1 species
GUGAUUGGCCUUAGUGCCUAAAAACUAUAUCCCAAACACCUGUGAACUGUUGAACCGAAAGGUUCUUUUACAAACAUUGUGUAAUGAACGUCAUAACAUUAUAAACAAAA